ACACGUGGGCAACCUGCCUGUAAGACUGGGAUAACUUCGGGAAACCGGAGCUAAUACCGGAUAAUCCUUUCCCUCACAUGAGGGAAAGCUGAAAGACGGUUUCGGCUGUCACUUACAGAUGGGCCCGCGGCGCAUUAGCUAGUUGGUGAGGUAACGGCUCACCAAGGCAACGAUGCGUAGCCGACCUGAGAGGGUGAUCGGCCACACUGGGACUGAGACACGGCCCAGACUCCUACGGGAGGCAGCAGUAGGGAAUCUUCCGCAAUGGACGAAAGUCUGACGGAGCAACGCCGCGUGAACGAUGAAGGCCUUCGGGUCGUAAAGUUCUGUUGUCAGGGAAGAACAAGUACCGGAGUAACUGCCGGUACCUUGACGGUACCUGACCAGAAAGCCACGGCUAACUACGUGCCAGCAGCCGCGGUAAUACGUAGGUGGCAAGCGUUGUCCGGAAUUAUUGGGCGUAAAGCGCGCGCAGGCGGUUCCUUAAGUCUGAUGUGAAAGCCCCCGGCUCAACCGGGGAGGGUCAUUGGAAACUGGGGAACUUGAGUGCAGAAGAGGAG
rnacentral:rRNA from 1 species